rnacentral:tRNA from 1 species
GGGCGGUUAGCUCAGUUGGUAGAGCGCCACGUUUACACCGUGGAUGCCGGCGGUUCGAGUCCGUCACCGCCCACCA